rnacentral:rRNA from 1 species
CCGCAUGGUUCGAUUAUUAAAGGAGAGAAACACUGGUGGAUGGGCUUAUGGCGCAUUAGUUAGUUGGUGAGGUAACGGCCCACCAAGACGAUGAUGCGUAGCCGGACUGAGAGGUUGAACGGCCACAUUGGGACUGAGAGACGGCCCAGACUCCUACGGGAGGCAGCAGUAGGGAAUUUUCGGCAAUGGGCGGAAGCCUGACCGAGCAACGCCGCGUGAGUGAUGAAGUUUUUCGGAAUGUAAAGCUCUGUUGCGCGGGACGAAUGGAGAGGGAGGACCCUCUUGUGACGGUACCGCGCGAGGAAGCCACGGCUAACUACGUGCC